GGCCGCGCCGCGAACUGGGGCGCAGACACCAGCGUGUCGUGACGCGCUCAUUACAACCCCUUCCUCUGUCCCGACUUACCGCCCCAGCUCUCUUUUUAAAAGAAGGGGGCAGGUGGUGGUUUUGUUGUUUUAACCGUUCAAAGGGAACUGUUCGGUGCAAGGUUUAAUAAACUUCGUGCGUGCGUGCGUCUCCAACAACCAAGGGCAAACUUUCUUGCUGCCCUUGAGCCCGAGCGGUGCCAUCUAACAGCCUCCUCUUGAAAUAAGCCCCUGGGUACCUUAGGGCGUGAGCUGCGAUCGCGAAUUUUAAAAUAACCCAUUAGGGAUCCAGAUGUUGCCCCGACUGAGGCCGGUUUCCUGUCUGUUGUGCGGAGUGGAAGGACCGCGCGGGGACUCCAAAGCUGCUCGCGGUGAUCAAGCGGUUUCCAAAUUCUGCUACCUAAGAUGUUUACAGCACUCCACCCCAACGGAGGAGGUCAGAAGCUAGAGAGGAUGUUUUCAAAGAGUCCACCAGAGGCGUCUAUCAUCUAGGUCUGACGGGACUUGCUUUCUCAGGAAACCUGGUGGGCGAGUCUGGUCAGAGGUGGAGGCAAGUUUCCUCAACUUACAACUUGCUUUGAAACUGACAUAGAAAGAGGGCAGCGAACGCUGUCACCCAGAGAGGGCCUCCACGGCCCUUUUCUCUCCUGGUGGACUCCUGAGACUCCCCCUAAGUGGCCCUUAGACAUUCAAGAUGUCAGGUAAGCUGGGAGGAGGAGUUUGAUCUGUCCCCUGCACCCAAGUAAAUACAAAUACAUUUUGCUCCUUGAAAAGAAAUGUCACCGCUUUAAACUUUCCCCAGCCAGAGAUCCAACUAGUUGCAUCAGGGUCUCUUGUCAGCAACCUUAACCCAUCCUGCCUCUUGUUUCCUUCUUUGUGGCCUAAGGUUGCAUUUUAGGGGGGGUUAUACAACGCUGCUCAUGUCAGCAAACCUCCCUGUCUCCAGCCUCACCCCAUCUCCCUGCCCGGAACUGUAGUCGGAAACCACAGACACACAAAUUCUCGUUAAAAUUUUCUGUUAUUCUUCCCGAUGGGAAGAGUUGACAAGACAUCGACAUUAAGUUGCAUAAAAUA
rnacentral:lncRNA from 1 species